AUGGCUGUGUCCCAAUUCAGGGUCUGCAUCCUUCGGAGGACCCGGCCUGCGUAGCAUCAGAAGGCUGGACCUUCGCAGGCACCUCCGAAGGAUGCAUCACCCGUUGUUAUAUGGGACAGUCUAGCCUGCGGAGGAUACUUACAUUUGAAGGUGUAUUCGCUGCCGCUGACAGUGCGGCUGCUUGUAUUUGCCGCCAUUGUCAAAAACAUCCGGGUUUAAGAAAGGCGCGUAAACCAUCUUGGGAUAUGGGAGACCACGAAGGAUUGUCGCGGUGCAUCCUCCGAAUACAGGGAAAAAAAGGGCGCAUUCGUCGGCUGCAAUUGGAGGAGCGAAUUGGGACAGCCUUCCUUCAGCGUUGUGAUGUAAGCGGCCUUUAAAUUCGCCCUUCGAAGGAUGCAGACCCUGAAUUGGACACAGCCAAUGUGCUACAAAUAUUUCCCUCUGAAGGUUUGCAUCAUCGUUGUUGAGCUUUGAAGAAGUUUUGUUUGUAAGACUAUCCAAUUGUCGAAGUUGCCCUCUAGUGGGUUAUUCAGACCACCACACACUGCCAAGAGAGCCCGGGAUUCUGGUAGCACAUCCAACUCCAACUACUCGUCUUAUCACGGCUGCUGCUAAUAAAGGCGACAGUUUCACAAUACGAGUCUUCUGGCGUGUAAACUUUGUGACCAAGACCAACAGUACACAGUCUUCUAAAAUACUUCGUCUACGUCUACGUCAUCAAAGACUAAUGUUUACCUAUCCGUCACUUUGUGCAUGGAGUGCAGGUCUUCUUGUGAAUUUAGUUUAUGAGAUGCUCAGCAAUAAUAAUUAAUAAAAGUGCUUUCAAGACAACUUCA